rnacentral:rRNA from 1 species
GAUGAACACUGGCGGCGUGCCUAAUACAUGCAAGUCGAGCGAAUGGAUUAAGAGCUUGCUCUUAUGAAGUUAGCGGCGGACGGGUGAGUAACACGUGGGUAACCUGCCCAUAAGACUGGGAUAACUCCGGGAAACCGGGGAUAAUACCGGAUAACAUUUUGAACCGCAUGGUUCGAAAUUGAAAGGCGGCUUCGGCUGUCACUUAUGGAUGGACCCGCGUCGCAUUAGCUAGUUGGUGAGGUAACGGCUCACCAAGGCAACAAUGCGUAGCCGACCUGAGAGGGUGAUCGGCCACACUGGGACUGAGACACGGCCCAGACUCCUACGGGAGGCAGCAGUAGGGAAUCUUCCGCAAUGGACGAAAGUCUGACGGAGCAACGCCGCGUGAGUGAUGAAGGCUUUCGGGUCGUAAAACUCUGUUGUUAGGGAAGAACAAGUGCUAGUUGAAUAAGCUGGCACCUUGACGGUACCUAACCAGAAAGCCACGGCUAACUACGUGCCAGCCGCCGCGGUAA